GACGAACGCUGGCGGCGUGCCUAAUACAUGCAAGUAGAACGCACAGUUUAUACCGUAGCUUGCUACACCAUAGACUGUGAGUUGCGAACGGGUGAGUAACGCGUAGGUAACCUGCCUGGUAGCGGGGGAUAACUAUUGGAAACGAUAGCUAAUACCGCAUAAUAUUGAUUAUUGCAUGAUAAUUAAUUGAAAGGUGCAAUUGCACCACUACCAGAUGGACCUGCGUUGUAUUAGCUAGUAGGUGAGGUAACGGCUCACCUAGGCGACGAUACAUAGCCGACCUGAGAGGGUGAUCGGCCACCCUGGGACUGAGACACGGCCCAGACUCCUACGGGAGGCAGCAGUAGGGAAUCUUCGGCAAUGGACGAAAGUCUGACCGAGCAACGCCGCGUGAGUGAAGAAGGUUUUCGGAUCGUAAAGCUCUGUUGUAAGAGAAGAACGGGUGUGAGAGUGGAAAGUUCACACUGUGACGGUAUCUUACCAGAAAGGGACGGCUAACUACGUG
rnacentral:rRNA from 1 species